UGGGGAAUAUUGCACAAUGGGCGCAAGCCUGAUGCAGCCAUGCCGCGUGUGUGAAGAAGGCCUUCGGGUUGUAAAGCACUUUCAGCGAGGAGGAAGGUGGUGAGCUUAAUACGCUCAUCAAUUGACGUUACUCGCAGAAGAAGCACCGGCUAACUCCGUGCCAGCAGCCGCGGUAAUACGGAGGGUGCAAGCGUUAAUCGGAAUUACUGGGCGUAAAGCGCACGCAGGCGGUUUGUUAAGUCAGAUGUGAAAUCCCCGGGCUCAACCUGGGAACUGCAUUUGAAACUGGCAAGCUAGAGUCUCGUAGAGGGGGGUAGAAUUCCAGGUGUAGCGGUGAAAUGCGUAGAGAUCUGGAGGAAUACCGGUGGCGAAGGCGGCCCCCCUGGACGAAGACUGACGCUCAGGUGCGAAAGCGUGGGGCAGCAAACAGGAUUAGAUACCCUGGUAGUCCACGCUGUAAACGAUGUCGAUUUUGGAGGUUGUGCCCUUGAGGCGUGGCUUCCGGAGCUAACGCGUUAAAUCGACCGCCUGGGGAGUACGGCC
rnacentral:rRNA from 1 species